rnacentral:lncRNA from 1 species
AUUCGGGUUGCCCCGGCCCCCCUCCCCUUCUCUCUCCUUUGCAGUGUCUUCACAUGCAAUCUCUCUCUGAAUGUGCAAUGUCUUUCCUGCUCGGGAGUGCUUCGUCCUUCACAGUGGAUUGGUUCCUCUUUCGGAGCAGAGGGCAGGCAAACGGCGUGGGAAAUGGGCCCGACGUGCGCUGCAUGGUGGAUGGCAGCGCCGCUCCCGCUCCACGUGUCCCGGCUGCCGGGAGGGGGCUAGGGCUUGGCCCCCCUCCGCAUCCCGCUACUUCGUUUCGUGCUGGAGAGGUGGGGGGGAAGGGAAGCCCAGCCACCCCCCGGCCCCGCGGAGCGUUAGUCCCAGCGGCUGCGGGAGGGGGAGGGCUCUUCUCCCCCCCCCCCCCCCCCCCCCCCCCCCCCCCCCCCGCCCCCCCCCCCCCCCCCCCCCCCCAGUCCCCCGGGCAAAGCUGUUGCGCAGCGCAACCCCCCCUAGCCCCCCCCGCCCACCCGAUGCACACAGUCGCCCACACGCGCUCAGACGUUUGUCCUCCUGAUCUGGUGAGAACAAGUGGGAAGCGGGAUCGCCAGCGUAAUCGGCUGUAAUAAAUAAAAUAGCCCGAGAUACCGGAGAUAUACAGAGGAGAAAUAAGAGCUUGUGUCCUUAAAGGGAACAUCUGAUAAGGCCACGGAGGUGGCAUCGUGCGUGUGGGAAGGAAUCCGUCUUGCUGACAUUCGCAGCCUGCUGUACGUGGGGGAAUCCUAAAGCAGGCUGGGAGCUUCCCCGGCUCCUCUGCACUCCCCAACGCAGCUUUCCGAAGCUCUGCAAUGGGGCUUUCCUAUUGUGACAGUGAUUGGAAAGACGGACUCACGGCUGAGAUAUGCAGAUGCCAUUAGCGUUUGUUCGGCUGUGUCCCGGCGAGCCCUGCUCCCUCCGCCCUCAGCCUGGGACGGUUCGGUUCAUCAGGUCGGGAAUGUCGGUGCAUCCGACCAGAGCUUUACCUCUGUGCUCUGCAGUAGGAGCCAACCUCAAGAGACGGGUUAUUUAAUCAUCUACAUAGCUUUGUACAUUAAUCAAUGCAUAUUAUUAUUAGUUUGUGCGCACACAUGUAUGCGCAUCAAAGAAGAGGGAAAAAAAAACAGGUGAGCUAGGAAAUAACAUAUUCAUAAUAAUGUGAGGAAAAGGUUAAAUACAGUAAACAUGACAGCAAAUUCGAACGCGGGAGAAAAACAACGACAAAAACCCCACAGAAAGCAGUUUAAACCGUUUGGCUGAAGGGAGAAGCUAACUCAAGAACUCCACCAAGGGACAAACAGAGGAAAUGACAGCGCAACAGCGCCAAGCCCGCGCUGACCUUUCAUCUCUCUAAAGUGUCCCGCUGUUCUGGUGCAGUUCUGCUGUGAUCUCUUCACCUCUCUCCCCUCCCUCCGAGCUCCCGAGUUGGCCGCAGUGUUUGUGCGCGGAGGUCGCAGAAUUACAAGGAGGGCUGACACUUGCCCAGUGCCUUUCACAGUUCUGCAGAAAUGCUCACUGUGUAGCAGCGUGAAGUGGACAGAAAUGAUUAAAUUAUUCAUUGCAGCCUUUCUGAUGGACAUUAAAACUUAAGUGUUUAAAUAAGGAAACCGAAGAUUUACUUUUAAGCUGAUAAUAACUGCAUAUGUGCUGGUUGAACUGAGUGCUGGCUAAAUGUGGAACUGGUUACGUUGUUUAAAUCCUCUCUCUUUUACUCACUGUGAGCAGUUUGAACUGGAUAACACACCACAAGUACUGUCAGAGCAAACAGUGUUUAAAUCUUACAUAAUUAUAACUCCUUGUUCUUAAAGCAGUGUUUGAAGUCUGUUCAAAAUAAAAGGUUGUUUUCUUGCA